UGCCAGCAGCCGCGGUAAUACGGAGGGGGCUAGCGUUGUUCGGAAUUACUGGGCGUGAAGCGCGCGUAGGCGGUUUGUUAAGUUGGGCGUGAAAUCCCGGGGCUCAACCCCGGAACUGCGUUCGAAACUGGCAGGCUAGAGUUCGGGAGAGGGUGGUGGAAUUUCCAGUGUAGAGGUGAAAUUCGUAGAUAUUGGAAAGAACACCGGUGGCGAAGGCGGCCACCUGGAUGGAGACUGACGCUGAGGUGCGAAAGCGUGGGGAGCAAACAGGAUUAGAUA
rnacentral:rRNA from 1 species